rnacentral:rRNA from 1 species
CGUACAUGCUAGGAACUUGCCAGAGAUGGCUUGGUGCCCGAAAGGGAACCUAGACACAGGUGCUGCAUGGCUGUCGUCAGCUCGUGUCGUGAGAUGUUGGGUUAAGUCCCGCAACGAGCGCAACCCUUGUCCUUAGUUGCCAGCAUUCAGUUGGGCACUCUAAGGAGACUGCCGGUGUCAAACCGGAGGAAGGUGGGGAUGACGUCAAGUCCUCAUGGCCCUUAUGUCCAGGGCUACACACGUACUACAAUGGCCGGUACAAAGGGGCGCAAGACCGCGAGGUGGAGCAAAUCCCAAAAAACCGGUCUCAGUUCGGAUUGGAGUCUGCAACUCGACUCCAUGAAGUUGGAAUCGCUAGUAAUCGCGUAUCAGCAUGACGCGGUGAAUACGUUCCCGGGCCUU